CCUACGGGAGGCAGCAGUGGGGAAUAUUGCACAAUGGAGGGAACUCUGAUGCAGCAACGCCGCGUGAGUGAAGAAGUAUUUCGGUAUGUAAAGCUCUAUCAGCAGGGAAGAAAGAGACGGUACCUGAACAAGACGCUCCGGCUAACUACGUGCCAGCAGCCGCGGUAAUACGUAUGAGGCAAGCGUUAUCCGGAUUUACUGGGUGUAAAGGGAGAGUAGAUGGCACAGCAAGUCUGAAGUGAAAGCCCAAAGCUCAACUAUGGGAAUGCUUUAGAAACUGCGCAGCUAGAGUGCAGGAGAGGCAAGUGGAAGUCUUAGGGUAGCGGUGAAAUGCGUAGAUAUUAGGAGGAACACCAGUGGCGAAGGCGGCUUGCUGGACUGUAACUGACACUGAGGCUCGAAGGCGUGGGGAGCAAACAGGAUUAGAUACCCUUGUAGUC
rnacentral:rRNA from 1 species